rnacentral:rRNA from 1 species
UACGUAGGGGGCGAGCGUUGUCCGGAAUUAUUGGGCGUAAAGAGCUCGUAGGCGGUCUGUCGCGUCGGCUGUGAAAUCCCGAGGCUCAACCUCGGGUCUGCAGUCGAUACGGGCAAACUGGAGUGUUGCAGGGGAGACUGGAAUUCCUGGUGUAGCGGUGAAAUGCGCAGAUAUCAGGAGGAACACCGGUGGCGAAGGCGGGUCUCUGGGCAACAACUGACGCUGAGGAGCGAAAGCGUGGGGGAGCGAACAGG